UACGUAGGGUGCAAGCGUUGUCCGGAAUUAUUGGGCGUAAAGAGCUCGUAGGCGGUCUGUCGCGUCGGCUGUGAAAUCCCGAGGCUCAACCUCGGGUCUGCAUUCGAUACGGGCAGACUAGAGUUCGGUAGGGGAGUCUGGAAUUCCUGGUGUAGCGGUGAAAUGCGCAGAUAUCAGGAGGAACACCGGUGGCGAAGGCGGGACUCUGGGCCGAUACUGACGCUGAGGAGCGAAAGCGUGGGGAGCAAACAGG
rnacentral:rRNA from 1 species